GCCAGACAUGGUGGUGUACCUGUAGUCUCAGCUACUUAGGAGGCUGAGGCAGGAGGAUGGCUUGAGCCCAGGAAUUAAAGACCAGACUGGGAGACAAAGCAAGAACUUGUCUCAG
rnacentral:sRNA from 1 species